rnacentral:pre_miRNA from 3 species
CCUGACCUUCAGUCCAGGGCUGAGUCAGCGGAGCCCCGAGUGGCUUCCCUGGCUGGCACCUGGACGUAGGCUAUUUCCGU